AAUGACAUCGUUGAAUUUCAUGUGAGAUACAUGUCGUGCGCUGGUGUGUGUUAGCACACAUGCAAAGCAUAAUCAAUGACGUCACACGGCGUGAAGCAAACGCGUCGUGCGCUGCGUUGUGUGCGUUGUGUGCUGGUGUGUGUGACCAUACAAAGAAAGCUUUACAUCAGCGCGCCGUGGCCACUGGUGGAACCGACUGUUUCUUUGACGAAAGCUAACCUAACCGCGACAACCGCGUACAAAAUGGCGCAAAAUGUCACGAAUUUAUCAUGCAUCAAGUUAUAUUUUCUUUAGUAUAAUAAUUACAUUCGUUUAGUUAAGCAACUUGUUUAUGAUAAUUGUAGAAAAGUGUAGAAAAAUGACACCUGCAUUAUAUCCUGGGAUGAAGAAACGUUAUUUUAUGUCGAUUUCUUUAGAUGACAAAGGAGGUAACCAAAUAGCAUAUCUUACAAAAUCUGAGGACAAUAAUAAGGAUCGUUUAGCAAGUCGGUUGAGAAGCGGAUCGAGAAUGAUUGUUUGAAUAUAAGUCGUACAAAAUUGGAAUGAAACGAUGAACAAUAUACAGAUCUUUAGACAGGCUCAAAUAUGUAUGUUUAGGAG